UACGUAGGUGGCAAGCGUUGUCCGGAUUUACUGGGCGUAAAGAGCGCGCAGGCGGUCGUUCAAGUCGGGUGUGAAAGCCCCCGGCUCAACUGGGGAGGGUCACGCGAUACUGAUCGACUCGAAGGCAGGAGAGGGUAGUGGAAUUCCCGGUGUAGUGGUGAAAUGCGUAGAUAUCGGGAGGAACACCAGUGGCGAAGGCGACUACCUGGCCUGUUUCUUGACGCUGAGGCGCGAAAGCUAGGGGAGCAAACAGG
rnacentral:rRNA from 1 species